CCUACGGGGAGCAGCAGUAAGGAAUCUUCCACAAUGGGCGAAAGCCUGAUGGAGCAACGCCGCGUGGGUGAAGAAGGUCUUCGGAUCGUAAAACCCUGUUGUUAGAGAAGAAAGUGCGUGAGAGUAACUGUUCACGUUUCGACGGUAUCUAACCAGAAAGCCACGGCUAACUACGUGCCAGCAGCCGCGGUAAUACGUAGGUGGCAAGCGUUAUCCGGAUUUAUUGGGCGUAAAGGGAACGCAGGCGGUCUUUUAAGUCUGAUGUGAAAGCCUUCGGCUUAACCGGAGUAGUGCAUUGGAAACUGGGAGACUGGAGUGCAGAAGAGGAGAGUGGAACUCCAUGUGUAGCGGUGAAAUGCGUAGAUAUAUGGAAGAACACCAGUGGCGAAAGCGGCUCUCUGGUCUGUAACUGACGCUGAGGUUCGAAAGCGUGGGUAGCAAACAGGAUUAGAUACCCCAGUAGUC
rnacentral:rRNA from 1 species